UGGGGAAUAUUGGACAAUGGAGGAAACUCUGAUCCAGCAAUUCUGUGUGUGUGAAGAAGGUUUUAGGACUGUAAAACACUUUUAGUAGGGAAGAAAAAAAUGACGGUACCUACAGAAGAAGCAACGGCUAAAUACGUGCCAGCAGCCGCGGUAAUACGUAUGUUGCGAGCGUUAUCCGGAAUUAUUGGGCUUAAAGGGCAUCUAGGCGGUAAGACAAGUUGAAGGUGAAAACCUGUGGCUCAACCAUAGGCUUGCCUACAAAACUGUUGAACUAGAGUACUGGAAAGGUGGGUGGAACUACACGAGUAGAGGUGAAAUUCGUAGAUAUGUGUAUGAAUGCCGAUGAUGAAGAUAACUCACUGGACAGAAACUGACGCUGAAGUGCGAAAGCUAGGGGAGCAAACAGG
rnacentral:rRNA from 1 species